rnacentral:rRNA from 1 species
GACGAACGCUGGCGGCGUGCUUAACACAUGCAAGUCGAACGGAAAGGCCCUGCUUUUGUGGGGUGCUCGAGUGGCGAACGGGUGAGUAACACGUGAGUAACCUGCCCUUGACUUUGGGAUAACUUCAGGAAACUGGGGCUAAUACCGGAUAGGAGCUCCUGCUGCAUGGUGGGGGUUGGAAAGUUUCGGCGGUUGGGGAUGGACGCGCGGCUUAUCAGCUUGUUGGUGGGGUAGUGGCUGACCAAGGCUUGGACGGGUAGCCGGCCUGAGAGGGUGACCGGCCACAUGGGGACUGAGAUACGGCCCAGACUCCUACGGGAGGCAGCAGUGGGGAAUAUUGCACAAUGGGCGGAAGCCUGAUGCAGCAACGCCGCGUGCGGGAUGACGUCCUUCGGGUUGUAAACCGCUUUCGCCUGUGACGAAGCGUGAGUGACGGUAAUGGGUAAAGAAGCACCGGCUAACUACGUG